CAUUGAGAAGCUAUAGGAAAGCGACAGCCUUUUAAGCUGUAGAAAGGUGACUCCGCCCACCCUCAAUGG
rnacentral:tRNA from 1 species